GAUGAAGAACGCAGCGAAAUGCGAUACGUAAUGUGAAUUGCAGAAUUCAGUGAAUCAUCGAGUCUUUGAACGCACAUUGCGCCCCCUGGUAUUCCGGGGGGCAUGCCUGUCCGAGCGUCAUUGCUGCCCUCAAGCACGGCUUGUGUGUUGGGCCUCCGUACUCCUCCCGGGGGACGGGCCCGAAAGGCAGCGGCGGCACCGCGUCCGGUCCUCGAGCGUAUGGGGCUUCGUCACCCGCUCUUGUAGGCCCGGCCGGCGCUUGCCGACACAUCAAUCUUUUUUCCAGGUUGACCUCGGAUCAGGUAGGGAUACCCGCUGAACUUAAGCAUAUCAAUAAGCGGAGGA
rnacentral:misc_RNA from 1 species